rnacentral:rRNA from 1 species
CACGUAGGCGGACUCUUAAGUCGGUGGUGAAAUCCUGGAGCUCAACUCCAGAACUGCCUCCGAUACUGUGAGUCUUGGAGUCCGGGAGAGGUGAGUGGAACUGCGAGUGUAGAGGUGAAAUUCGUAGAUAUUCGCAAGAACACCAGUGGCGAAGGCGGCUCACUGGCCCGGUACUGACGCUGAGGUGCGAAAGCGUGGGGAGCAAACA